CUCACCCCCGCUUUUUUUCUCCUUUGAUCGUUUUUCGGAAUCAGACGAUUCUUUUGUUUGAAUUAUCCUUCUUUUUUUUGUGUAUUUUCGUUGAUGUUUAGAUAAUUAUAGGAGGUGCUCGAAUCUUAUUUGUUUCAAGGGUUUUGUUGUGGAACUAUAUAGGAGAUAGAUUUCUUGGAGGGAUUGGUGCCUCCUAGUUGGGUCCGGUUCCUCGUCUCAAAAAAGUAAAGGGCGUUAGAAUUUACUCAAGUUCAUAUUUUCGAUGAUAUGGCAAAGCUGAAUAAAGUGAAAUAUAAUGUACUUACUUGAAGUGAAUCAAUUACUGGUUACUAAUAUUGCUUGCCACUGUGGCAUUGAUCGACCGGUGCUAAAGGUGCUAAUAAUUCAGCAGGAUGCGGAAGACUUUACCUUGUUCCCAAGCAUAGUGACCUCUGAACCCACAACUGUGUAUAGAUGUAAGUAAUAUAAUAAAACAAAGGAGCCCUGGAAUCAAGGGCUGUAUGCAGGCAUAGAUAGUUCUUCUACUUGAGAAUGAUUUCACUAUUUUUAUUUGGCUUUGCCCGUCAAUAUUGUUUCUGUAGUUUCAAUUGAGAAACAGUUGGAUUUUGUGAGUGUUUGAUCUUAGCUGAUCUUCUAUAGUUUACUUUGUUUCCCCUGUUGUGUUCUUUUUGUGGCCUCUCUUGACUUGCACUUGAUUUGCCAAUGCUUAUCAUUGCUUUCUUUUGCAAUUGAUUUUGCUUUCUAAGAGAUUCUUUGGUGCUAUUUUUUCCCCCAUUGCCAAGGUGGUUUUUUCAUAAAAAGAGAUAUAGUGGUAUAAAACAUGAGUGCCAUACAGAAUGCAUUUGAAGAUAAUAGAAGAUGAAGUGCCAAUGGGAACUAAUGGUGAUGGUAUAGUAGUGCAAUGAAGACACAAGGAGGAAGCAAUAAAGAGAGCAGUACUGAUUCCAUGUACAAUGAUAGGAAAAGAAAAGGGAAGCAUGAAAAAAAAAAAAAAUUGAGUUUGAUUGUUAAAGACGAGUUGGAAAACUCUGAUUCUAGUAGAAAACCAAAUCAAUGAUAAGUUUUUAAUCAGCAAGAAAGAUCAACCAAGGUGUUACCUUUGGCAUAUGAAAUUUUUAUGUCAGGUUGAAAUGGUGGUGGCCACAGAGCUGAAGAAUUCUGGCUUUUGAGGACAGUGGUUGGUUGUGAGGUUCGAGAUGACUAUUAGCCAAAAAGCUAGAUAGAUGAUACUGAAAGGUUUGCACUGGAAGAAGGUGUAGGCCGUGAUGUUGAUAACAGUGUUUGUUGGUGUGCCAAAGAUGAUUAGCUAUUGUGGCUUUUGAUGAAGAGAAUGGUAGGGUGGUGGAGGUUGAUCGUAGAAGAAGAUGGUAACUAAUUGAAAGUUGGUUAUGCUUAUGAAUGACAUAGAGCAUGAUGCACAAAGGUUGGCAUGGUCAGAAUGUGAAUAUAAUGUUGCUAAAAGGAAUUUAGAAUAGGUA